GAUGAACGCUAGCGGCAGGCCUAACACAUGCAAGUCGAGGGGUAGAAGAAGCUUGCUUCUUUGAGACCGGCGCACGGGUGCGUAACGCGUAUGCAAUCUACCUUAUACAGGGGAAUAGCCCAGAGAAAUUUGGAUUAAUGCCCCAUGGUAUUAUUGAAUGGCAUCAUUUAAUAAUUAAAGUUCCAACGGUAUAAGAUGAGCAUGCGUCCCAUUAGUUAGUUGGUGUGGUAACGGCACACCAAGACGAUGAUGGGUAGGGGUCCUGAGAGGGAGAUCCCCCACACUGGUACUGAGACACGGACCGGACUCCUACGGGAGGCAGCAGUGAGGAAUAUUGGUCAAUGGGCGAAAGCCUGAACCAGCCAUGCCGCGUGCAGGAAGACUGCCCUAUGGGUUGUAAACUGCUUUUAUACAGGAAGAAACACUCCCUCGUGAGGGAGCUUGACGGUACUGUAUGAAUAAGCACCGGCUAACUCCGUG
rnacentral:rRNA from 1 species